UGACAAGUGGACGUCGGAUGAUGAUGCACGAAAGAAAGUAGGGCCAACUCUGUCUCUUGAGUGUCCUCGUCCUGAUCAAGUCAUUUCUUCAAUCAAAUUUGCAAGCUUUGGCACUCCUCAUGGUGCAUGUGGAAGCUUUAGCCACGGUCGAUGCACGAGCAGCAAUGCUCUUUCCCAUGUAAAGAAGGCUUGCAUUGGAUCAAAACGCUGUAGUCUUGGAGUUUCAAUAGAUGUAUUUGGUGACCCAUGUAUAGGAGUGACAAAAAGUUUAGCUGUAGAAGCUUCCUGUUCGUGAUGCAUAGUUGGACCAGGCGAAAGCCUCUUACUAAAGUAAGUGUAGAAGUGGUAGAAGGUCAGAUAAACUACAAUAAAUUUCAACUUCAUAAAGAGAAAAAGAGCACUUUGUUUUCUCUUGCCGAUUUGAUGAUAUUAUGAAAAGAAGAAGAAAAAAAA